rnacentral:rRNA from 1 species
UACGUAGGGGGGCUAGCGUUGUCCGGAAUCAUUGGGCGUAAAGCGCGCGUAGGCGGCCAGAUAAGUCCGGUGUGAAAGUCACAGGCUCAACCUGUGAAUGCCGCUGGAAACUGUCUGGCUAGAGUCCGGAAGGGGCGAGUGGAAUUCCUGGUGUAGCGGUGAAAUGCGCAGAUAUCAGGAGGAACACCGGUGGCGAAGGCGGGUCUCUGGGCAGUAACUGACGCUGAGGAGCGAAAGCGUGGGGAGCGAACAGG